rnacentral:rRNA from 1 species
GAUGAACGCUGGCGGCGUGCCUAACACAUGCAAGUCGAACGGAGUCAUGCCUUUAAGGCCUUCGGGACAAAGAGGGGAAGCCGGAGUGGCAGACGGGUGAGUAACACGUGGAAAACCUGGAUCAUAUCGGGGGAUAACAGAGAGUAAUUUCUGCUAAAACCGCAUAAGCACACACUGCCGCAUGGCAGAGGGUGAAAAGAGAAUCGCUAUGAGAUGGACCCGCGUCUGAUUCGCCAGUUGGCAGGGUAAGAGACUACCAAAGCGACGAUCAGUAGCCGAUCUGAGAGGCUGGGUGGCCACUCUGGGACUGAGCCGCGGCCCAGACUCCUACGGGAGGCAGCAGUGGGGGAUAUUGCACAAUGGCGGGAACCCUGAUGCAGCGACGCCGCUUGAGUGAAGAAGUAUGGCGGUAUGUAAAGCUCAAUCAGCAGGGAAGAUAAUGACAGUACCUGAAUAAGAAGCCCCGGCUAACUACGUG